rnacentral:lncRNA from 1 species
AAAAUUUCAUCCUCCAAAUUCGGUUUCUCAAUAGCACGAUGUAUAUCAACUCCUUAUCCACGAACUCUUUGCCCACGAUUCCAGUAACAUAAUUUUACGGUUUUAUCAAACCAGUUUUAAAAUAAGUUCUUCUUUUACAUUAUAUAGUUCUUUUCUUUCUCCAUCGUGUGCAUAUUAAAUAAUAAUUUUACACUACAAAAGGUCUUUGUAUUUCAUAAACGAUCUUUAUUCCAGUUGGAAUUGUAUUCCUUUAACUGAUAAUUUCCG